GCGGCCCUAGGAGCGGCUCCCAGCGAGGCCCCGCCGCACCCCGGCUCCUCGGGAGGGUCAGGGUGUCCCCCGCCGCGGUGGGCUCCCCCUGAGGGCCCCGAUCGCUGUCGGGGCUCCCCCACAGCAGCAGGACCCCACAGGGCUGGGGGGGGGGGGUGAAGGGGCGCCCGCCGCCCCCUCGGAGGGCCACCAUGGAGAUCAUCUACGUGUACACGCGGAAGCGCAGCGAGUUCGGCCGGCCCUGCAGCUUCUCCGACCGGCCGGCCAAGGUGAACGUGGACAUCCCCCCCGACCCCAGCAUGGCCAGCAGCUUCGUCCUGAGGAACCCCGUGGACAGCUCCGUCCAGCACAGCAGCGACAUGUCUGAGCACGAGGUCAACACGGAGCGGGUGGAGGUGGAAUCCCGCGGUGUCAACCACGUAGAGGGCGGCUGGCCCAAAGACAUCAACCCGCAGGAGGUGGAGCAAACCAUCCGCUUCAGGAAGAAAGUGGAGAAAGAUGAAAACUACAUCAACACCAUCACGCACCUCGGUGCCCUGAUGGAGCACUGCGUCAAGCAGAACAACGCCAUCAACAUCUACGAGGACUACUUUGGAGAGGAGGAGGUGGCAGAGGUGGAAGACGAGCCCCCCUCCGCAAAAACCAUCAAUGUCAUCAGGGAUCCAAACGUAACCAAGAGGACAGCUACGCAUCUCUCCUGGCACCCCAACACGUGCAAGAAACUGGCAGUGGCUUAUUCCAGCCUGGAGUUCCAGCAAAACAUGAAAGAGAUGAGCUUUGACUCGUACAUCUGGGAUCUUGAAAACCCCAACAAGCCGGAGCUCGUUCUCAAGCCGACAUCCCCUCUCGUGAGCCUGGAAUACAACCCCAAAGACUCACACGUCCUGGUGGGAGGAUGCUACAACGGGCAGAUGGCUUACUGGGACACCAGGAAAGGGGGGCUGCCCAUGGAGGUGUCCACCGUGGAGUUCAGCCACAGGGACCCGGUGUACGGAGCCAUCUGGCUGCAGUCCAAAACGGGCACCGAGUGCUUCUCGGCCUCCACCGACGGGCAGGUCCUGUGGUGGGAUAUCCGCAAGCUGUCCGAGCCCACCGAGACGCUGGUCUUGGACAUCACCCGGAAAGGGCUCCUGGAGAACGCUCUGGGUGCCGUCACACUGGAGUUUGAGCCCACCAUGCCCACCAAGUUCAUGGUGGGCACAGAGCAGGGCAUCGUCAUCGCCUGCAACCGCAAGGCCAAGACACCCCCCGAAAAAAUCACCAGCACCUACAGCGGCCACCACGGACCUGUCUAUGCGCUGGCCAGGAACCCUUUCUACCCCAAAAUCUUCCUGACAGUUGGUGACUGGACUGCUCGGAUCUGGUCGGAGGAGACCAAGGAAUCAUCAAUUAUGUGGACCAAGUACCACCUCUCCUACCUGACGGACGGGUGCUGGAGCACCGUGAGGCCGGCCGUCUUCUUCACCACCAGAUCGGACGGGACCCUGGACGUCUGGGACUUCCUCUUCAAGCAGAACGACCCCUCCCUCAGCUUGAAGGUCUGUGACGAGCCCCUCUCCAGCCUGCGCCUGCAGGACAACGGGUGCGUCGUUGGCUGCGGCUCGAAGCUGGGCGCUGUCACCCUGCUGGAAAUCUCCUCUGGGUUCUGCACCCUCCAGAGGAACGAGAAGAACCUGGUCAACGCCAUGUUUGAGCGGGAGACGAAGCGGGAGAAGAUCCUGGAGGCCCGGCACCGGGAAAUGCGGCUGAAGGAGCGCGCCAGGUCGGAGGGCCAGGAGAUGGAGGUGGAGGAGAUGCCGGUGGAGAGUCCCCACGAUGUGCUCGAGCGCACGCGCAGGGAGUUCUUUGAGGUCAUCGAAGCGGAGCUGCAGAGGAGGGCGCGGGCAGAGACCCAGCCCCUGCGUGGCAAGGUUAAAGACCACGCGGGAGAGGAGGAGGCGGCGCAGGGGGAAGAGAGCCAGCUGCCCAAGGACCGGGAAGAGGAGGAGGAGGAGAAGGAUGCUGCCAAGGAGCCGUAGCUGAGAUGGGACCAGUGGGUCGCCCAGAAACCUCGUGUUGGUCGCAGAUGCUGCCUGGCCCUUUGCCCUCCUGAUUUUUUUUUCUUCUGGGCCAGGCCGUGGAUCAAAGCUGGCUGUGGACCACGACAGAGCGCUCAUGGCAGUGGGAUGUCCCUUAGUGUGUCCCCAGCUCGAGGAGCAGGGCAGAGCAGGGCAGCUGGUGGUGGCAGCAGGGUCCCGGUGCAGCACCAUGCCCCUUCCCGGCGGGGAGGGUGAUGCUGAGCAAAGCCCCGUGCCCCCCACCUCCUAAUUUCCCUGUGAGAGCAGCCUGUGGUGCUUGGGCCAGGGUUAUCGGUGCUGGGUAAACACAGCCCGGCCAGUAUCACCGAGUAGCCGCCCUGCUGCUUACCCAGCCAUCAAUUAUUAACGAGCAGCCGGUUGC